UACGAAGGGGGCUAGCGUUGUUCGGAAUUACUGGGCGUAAAGCGCACGUAGGCGGACUUUAAGUCAGGGGUGAAAUCCCGGGGCUCAACCCCGGAACUGCCUUUGAUACUGGAAGUCUUGAGUGUGGUAGAGGUGAGUGGAAUUGCGAGUGUAGAGGUGAAAUUCGUAGAUAUUCGCAGGAACACCAGUGGCGAAGGCGGCUCACUGGACCACAACUGACGCUGAGGUGCGAAAGCGUGGGGAGCAAACAGG
rnacentral:rRNA from 1 species